GUGGCCUUUGUGUGCAGGGCGACAGGCAUGUUGGAAGGAGGGCGCCGCACCAUAUGUUCCAAAGUGGAGAUCAAAUUGGCUUUGUCUUAAACGGAGAGAAAUGUGCGAGAGUCCUGGAGGGAAGAAGAAGCGAAAAGAGUGGGGAGAGAACAACCCUCCCCCCUCAUUUCCUCAUCACCUCCAACAAAGCAAGUGAGCAGAUCUGAGCUGGAUGGCAAACAUCAGAGACAAACCUGGUGGGUGAUGAAACACAAGGACACACACGAUGCGGCGUUUAGGAGGCAGGGCAUUGCGGGCUCUAGCGAGCUGUCUGAAAGAAAAGAAACCGGUGGAACUUGAGCACAUCCCUCGAAUGUUCCAGUCUCCUCGCUAUCCUUGGAAAAGUUUUUGGCGAAGUUGUAAAAGAAAGCAGAUGCCAGAUGUGCACGCCAUAUGCUGGGGGUCUUAAAUUAAGUCCUUUUCACUGGUUUGGUUUUUAUUGUUUUUUGAUGUGUAAAGUCUUGUAAAUGUUCCUAUCUAUUAGGUCACAGCAGUCAACUUGAAAUGAACUUGACUGUAGUUGGAUGAGACAAUACUGCAUGAAAUGAGUAGUAAUGUAGUUCAGUGUUAAUUCAAUACAACUAUUCAUGUUAAACUCAAACUCAUCAGUGAAAGAUUUCUAGCACUGGUUUGCUUAAUUCUGCCAAAAAAAACAAAGCAACAAAUCAGAGGCUGGAACUUUUUAGAUUCAAAACAAGAUUAUGGUGAGCGAGAAUCAGCUGCUCAGAUUGGGUUCAAUUUAUAUCUACUGCUUGUCGUCAGAGGAGCAGGCCAGAAUCUACACACGGGUGGAUGUUUUACAUCCCCUUCUAUCCACUGUGGCCCCUUCACACGGGAUAAGGCAGGGUGAUAACAGUCUUGUAGGCGGUGGGGAAUAAUGAAAAAACAAACAAAACAAAAACCCGCCCAAAACUUCUGGCAACGCUGCCUGACGCUCCUCUCCUUCUGCUCUCCGUAUCCUAAAAUGACAUCUGACCCUGCAGUCAGAGGUUAUUUGGGGUCAUCUUGGAGAAGGAACCUCUGACAGGCC